UGCCAGUAAGGGGAAACAACUCCUUACUAUAAUGCAACCGCCAUGUUUAUGCGGGGAAGACCGAGUUUUGUGUUUACAAAAAGGUUGAUUUAGCGGAUCGUAUAUAUCAGAAUGACACAUGCUGUUCUGAUUGCAGAGGUAUGUGAAAUGGAAAGAAAGAGAUACAUGUACAUACAGAGACUGUUUGAAUUUAAGGUGUAAAAAUGAGCUACAUGUACAAGAAAAGAUGUUGAAAAUACCAGGUCUGGACCUUUGUGGCUGCAUGGAAUUAAUUCUGAAAUACCAGGAAACAAGAUGUAGCUGCACAGCAGACAUGGCAGAUCUUUAAAUUGCUAAUAGGCAUCAACUCAACAUUUUCAAGCUGCAUAUAAAAGGAAAAGCAUUCCUUUUCAUAGAAUCCAAGAAUUUUUUAACCAAGUCAAGUGGUUAUUAGACCUGUUAUCAUGAAAAUACUAACAUAUAUAUUAGUAUUUACAGUCAUAUGUAAUAUCCCAAAUAUAAGAACUAUUUGGUAUGUGUGACUAUCUUUCUUCCCAUGUCAUGUUACAUGUAUGCUCAGAAUAUUUUAAUGUCACAAGGAUAUGAAAUGGAUAAAUGAUAUAUUGUCAACCAUUUAAAUAAAACAGACAGGCUCACAUAUAAAUUAACUGUCUAUGUGAAAGUUCAAGUUGACUAAAAUUGUCUAGAAUUAAAAAAAAACAAAUAUCCAAAAGUACAGAAUUGCCUUUCUCAGAAAUUUUGUAUGUUUAAUAGAAUGAUACUUGUAGCUUC